GUGCUCACUUUGGCACACAUGUCCUAAAACUAGAACACUACAGCGACAAUUAGCACGGGCUCUGUGCAAGGAUGAUACACAAACUUGAGAGCAGUUAACAGACAUC